AACAUACCUAAACGUUGCUUCGGCGGGAACAGACGGCCCCGUAACACGGGCCGCCCCCGCCAGAGGACCCCCUAACUCUGUUUCUAUCAUGUUUCUUCUGAGUAAACAAGCAAAUAAAUUAAAACUUUCAACAACGGAUCUCUUGGCUCUGGCAUCGAUGAAGAACGCAGCGAAAUGCGAUAAGUAAUGUGAAUUGCAGAAUUCAGUGAAUCAUCGAAUCUUUGAACGCACAUUGCGCCCGCCAGUAUUCUGGCGGGCAUGCCUGUUCGAGCGUCAUUACAACCCUCAGGCCCCCGGGCCUGGCGUUGGGGAUCGGCGGAGCCCCCUGCGGGCACACGCCGUCCCCCAAAUACAGUGGCGGUCCCGCCGCAGCUUCCAUUGCGUAGUAGCUAACACCUCGCAACUGGAGAGCGGCGCGGCCACGCCGUAAAACACCCAACUUCUGAA
rnacentral:misc_RNA from 1 species